AUCGUCUAUUUGAUAGGACCUCACUACUCGGAUAACCGUGGUAAUUCUAGAGCUAAUACGUGCUGAAAACCCCGACUUCGGAAGGGAUGUAUUUAUUAGAUUAAAAGCCAACGCCCUCCGGGGCCCCUUGGUGAUUCAUGAUAACUCCUCGAAUCGCACGGCCUUGCGCCGGCGAUGGCUCAUUCAAAUUUCUGCCCUAUCAACUUUCGACGGCUGGGUCUUGGCCAGCCGUGGUGACAACGGGUAACGGAGGGUUAGGGCUCGACCCCGGAGAAGGAGCCUGAGAAACGGCUACUACAUCCAAGGAAGGCAGCAGGCGCGCAAAUUACCCAAUCCCGACGCGGGGAGGUAGUGACAAUAAAUACCGAUACAGGGCUCUUUCGGGUCUUGUAAUUGGAAUGAGUACAAUUUAAUUCCCUUAACGAGGAACAAUUGGAGGGCAAGUCUGGUGCCAGCAGCCGCGGUAAUUCCAGCUCCAAUAGCGUAUAUUAAAGUUGUUGCAGUUAAAAAGCUCGUAGUUGAACCUUGGGCCUGGCUGGCCGGUCCGCCUCACCGCGUGCACUGGUCCGGCCGGGCCUUUCCCUCUGGGGAGCCGCAUGCCCUUCGCUGGGCGUGCCGGGGAACCAGGACGUUUACUUUGAAAAAAUUAGAGUGUUCAAAGCAGGCUUAUGCUCGGAUACAUUAGCAUGGAAUAAUGGAAUAGGACGUGCGGUUCUAUUUUGUUGGUUUCUAGGACCGCCGUAAUGAUUAAUAGGGACAGUCGGGGGCAUCCGUAUUCAGUUGUCAGAGGUGAAA
rnacentral:rRNA from 1 species